CCUACGGGUGGCAGCAGUGAGGAAUAUUGGUCAAUGGUCGGGAGACUGAACCAGCCAAGCCGCGUGAGGGAGGAAGGUACAGAGUAUUGUAAACUUCUUUUGUCAGGGGACAAAGACUGGGACGCGACCCCGGAUGAGGGUACCUGAAGAAAAAGCAUCGGCUAACUCCGUGCCAGCAGCCGCGGUAAUACGGAGGAUGCGAGCGUUAUCCGGAUUUAUUGGGUUUAAAGGGUGCGUAGGCGGUCUGUUAAGUCAGCGGUAAAAGCCCGGGGCUCAACCCCGGCCCGCCGUUGAAACUGGCAGUCUCGAGUUGUCGAGAGGUAUGCGGAAUGCGCGGUGUAGCGGUGAAAUGCAUAGAUAUCGCGCAGAACUCCGAUUGCGAAGGCAGCAUGCCGGCUCCACACUGACGCUGAGGCACGAAAGCGUGGGUAUCGAACAGGAUUAGAUACCCCAGUAGUC
rnacentral:rRNA from 1 species